rnacentral:misc_RNA from 1 species
AAGUCGUAACAAGGUUUCCGUAGGUGAACCUGCGGAAGGAUCAUUAUUGAAUAAACUUGGUUAGGUUGUUGCUGGCUCUUAGGAGCAUGUGCACGCCAAAUCCAUCUUUAACCACCUGUGCACCUUGCGUAGAUCUGAACAUUUCGAGGACACUCGGCUUGAGAAUUGCUGUGCGUGAGCUAGCUCUUCUUGUAUUCAGGUCUAUGUUUUCAUAUACCCCAUAUGAAUGUAUACGAAUGUUGCAAUUGGCCUUGUGCCUUUAAAAACAAAUACAACUUUCAACAACGGAUCUCUUGGCUCUC